rnacentral:rRNA from 1 species
GCGCAGCAGGCGCGAAUCGUUCACAAUGGGCGCAAGCCUGAUGGCGCGACGCCGCGUGUGGGAUGGAGGCCUUCGGGUUGUAAACCACUGUCACAGGGGAAGAAAGGCACGGAUGCUAACAUCGUCCGUGUUUGACGUUACCCUGAGAGGAAGCCACGGCUAACUCCGUGCCAGCAGCCGCGGUAAUACGGAGGUGGCAAGCGUUGUUCGGAAUUACUGGGCGUAAGGUAGCGCAGGCGGUCUGUUGUGUUCGAUGUGAAAUCCCCCGGCCGUCACCCGGGGAACCGUGCAUCGAAAACUAGACAGACUUGAGUGCAGGAGAGGAGAGCGGAAUUUCCGGUGUAGCGGUGAAAUGCGUAGAUAUCGGAAGGAACGCACGUGGCGGAAAAGCGGGCUCUCUGGUCUGCGAACUGACGCUGAGGCACGAAAGCCAGGGUAAGCAAACGGAUUAGAUACCCCGUGUAGU